GGAUCAGGGAGAAUCUCUUUCUGGUAACAUUGCUUCAAUUUUAGCAGAAUUCAUGAUUUUCUGAUAAGGGGCUCUUUUCCAACUGAUGUCUUAGCCUUCUUAGUGCCUCAAGUUAGAUCUUUUUCAGACAUGUUUUAACAAGUUAAUAUGAGUUGACUUUGAUGUAAAAAAUUUUGAAAUCCAUGCAUAGUUUUUUCAUAAUAUACAUUUUCCAUAAAAUUUUUGAUCCCUGGUAUAUAAUAUAUACAUAUGUUUCAUUAUAAUACUUGUACAAUUUGGUAAAACUGAGGUUCUGGACUAUCAUUAGGCAUAUAAUAAUUCUGAAAAAGUUUCUUUAAUGAUACCUUGCUAUUUACCUUCAGAAAACAACACCAAAUUAAAUCUAUUCAGGUCAUGAGAUUUGGCAUAUCGAGUAGAAAAUAACAUUGAAUUGCAGCAUACAAGAAUGAAGAGGCAAUAUGUAGUUCUUAAUCAUUAAAUCUAGAGUAUUUUCUGGAAAGCUUACAGAAGAAGUGACUGGAUAGAAAGACCUCAGGACUCAUCUGUGUUAAAUUUUUUUUUUCCUCCAGUUGUUUGCUAUAAACAUAAUUUAAGAACAACUCUACAGAGGGGUCAGACCACCAUUCUAGCAAAGAACUGAGUGAUUCACUGAAUACUCCUAAUUUCAAUUCUGAUUGUCAUUAUCUGGGUGGAAUCUGAAAAAGCAGAAAAAGGUGGAAAGUAAAGGAACAUUUGUAAAUGUCAGUUCAUGUUGUAGGGGUUGUAUCUUCCCUGGGGUUCUCAUUACAGUUGCCCAUCAAUGGAAUUUGUAGAAAAAAAAUGUGAUGCACAUGGGAACACAUUAGACCAGCUACAGGAACCUCUAAAGUGUGAUUUUCACUUUGGAUACUCUAAUCAGGAGACAGACCUAGAACAAUGAGCCUGUCCUGCUUUAGAAUGGAUGCCACCUUUAUCACAAGUUAACUUACAGGUUAACAUAACUUCUGUUCUUGCCAGAAAAAUUGUGAAAAGGAAUUGUCACUUCUUAUUUAAAAGGGAAAUGGUUGGGGCUCUGAAAUUUGUACUUAGAUCUGUUCUGCCUAUCCCUACAGAUACAACUAUCAUCAGUUUCCUGGUGAAGAAAUUGAGGCUCAGAGCAUGUUGAACUAAAGGUCUACAAACCAGACUUCUGUGACCAGGAAAUUUGGAAGCCAACCAUCGGACAUCAGGAAAGGAUGGAUGGAAGCAAUAUUAAUCAGAAUUAGCUUUGGAAUCUCUGACUCAUGUCUGGAAUAUCAUCAGCCAUUAGCACCAGACAAAAUGUAGCCACUGAAAAAUCUUCUGGGAUGCAAACUUUACAAAAAACUUCUACACCAAAGCUGAACCAAAGAUGAAAUCAUUACAUGCUGGCAUCGUGAAAACACCUAUAUUAUAAGCAAACGGCACAGCCAGGAUUCAAUUUGGGAUUAGCAUGCUAUCACUCCAAUGAUGCAUUGCGCCACUGGGCACAGAGUAAGCGGUGUACCCUGACCAAAGGCUGCCGAAGCAAUACAGAACUCCUUGUUAAGGUAAGGGAUAAGGCGACUUCUUCCUAAUUUGUAUUACCAUUCUGCCAAACUGAAAAAAAUUAAGACAUUUAAAUAUUUUUUAAGAAGUCUUUUCCUUUCAGAAUCGCUUAAAUCUCUGUCCCUAUUACUCUCUUCUAAAGUGUGCCUUUGGGUUUGGCUGUCUCUGUAAUUAUAAUUUGCUGCAAAUUCAUAAUGAAUACCUACACAAACCACAUCUGGUUUCUGAGCUUUUAGUGUUCUUGAAGAAAAUUUCUCUCUUUUAUUUGGGGCGAGAGAAACAGAGCAAAUUAUGCUUGGUUAAAAUAUGCCGUCCAGGCUCCAGAUAUGGAGGCAGGGGUACUGGAAUAAGGAUUAUGAUAGCAAUACAAGCCAGGUCAAUUAGAUUUCUAUCAAAAAUUUAUAAUCAGAAAACAUGUUUUUAUAGAAUUAUACAACAUUAGAGCCUAAUCAAUAUUAGUGAUAGACAUUAGGACUUAGAAGCUGAGUGCACAAUCUAUGUUCACAGUUCAUGGUAAUGCCCCUCUGUAAUGCAGGUCACCCAAAGAAGCAAAUGAUAUUUUUCUAUUAAACCACAAUUCCUGCUGUUAAAACCCUAUAUUUUCUUAGUCAUUUAAUAUUGUUCCUUUCCUAAGAAAUAUAUUUAAAUGCUACCCAAAGAUUUUUCAUAAAAAAGAUAAGGAAUAUGAAUUUUAUUUAUCUUUCAGUCUUGUUAUUACCUGUAAAAUCAUUUAACACUAACAAAAACAUCACAUUGCUCUCAAAUCCCGUAAUAUGUCAAUGCCUUAUUAUUUCUUUUAGCUAGAAUAUUUUUUUUUCCAAUUUCAAUGUAUUUUU